AAAUUUUGGUGAGAUAGGGGUUGAAAGGGCUAGAAAGUGUUAAGAAGAUAGAAAAGAAGGAGGGAAAAGUGGUAACUGAAGGAAGUUAAUAAUCACAAACCAGAAUUAAAGAAGGGCCCAAGAAUUCUAUCCUAACUGUAGACAUGUAUGAGGUACAAGGGAGACAACUGUAAAAGUUUAGGCAGAGAAUAUGGUAAUUUCAAGCAGAGUAAGGGUACAACAAAACCAUUCUUCCCAAAAGUUUAGGAAGGCAGGUCUGCAAGCCACGUUCCCAAAAAUAAGCUUUUGGCAGAAAUCAGCUGAGAAAGCAGACUGACUAUUAGAAGGCAGCCUCCUCCUGAGAUCCAAAGGCCUGUGUGGGGACUCAGGGUGGUGAUAGAGAUUAAUAUUCUGCUUGCUCAUUCACGUACCCCUCACCACUCCAUGCCUGGCUUGCCCCUAGUAUGUAUGGGAUCUGGGCCAGUAGCAUGAGCCAAGAGCCACCUGCCAUG
rnacentral:lncRNA from 1 species